AACUUCUGUAUAUGUCUGGUUCUGGCUUCGGUCAAGCCAUGAUGUAUACAUCCGCUUGCAAACCUAGACUGGCCUUCACUGGUCAACUAGGGGAGUAGGCCUUUUACUUUGAAAAAAUUAGAGUGUUUCAAGCAGGCAAUGGCUCGAAUACAUUAGCAUGGAAUAAUGGAAUAGGACUUUUGUCCAUUUGGUUGGUUAUUGGACAUGAGUAAUGAUUAACAGGGACAGUUGGGGGCAUUAGUAUUUAAUUGUCAGAGGUGAAAUUCUUGGAUUUAUUAAAGACUAACUUAUGCGAAAGCAUU
rnacentral:rRNA from 1 species